CCUACGGUGUGCAGCAGUGGGGAAUAUUGGACAAUGGGCGAAAGCCUGAUCCAGCCAUGCCGCGUGUGUGAAGAAGGCCUUCGGGUUGUAAAGCACUUUCAGUGGGGAAGAAAGCCUUGGGGCUAAUACCCUCGAGGAAGGACAUCACCCACAGAAGAAGCACCGGCUAACUCCGUGCCAGCAGCCGCGGUAAUACGGAGGGUGCGAGCGUUAAUCGGAAUUACUGGGCGUAAAGCGCGCGUAGGCGGUCUGAUAAGCCGGUUGUGAAAGCCCCGGGCUCAACCUGGGAACGGCAUCCGGAACUGUCAGGCUAGAGUGCAGGAGAGGAAGGUAGAAUUCCCGGUGUAGAGGUGAAAUGCGUAGAGAUCGGGAGGAAUACCAGUGGCGAAGGCGGCCUUCUGGACUGACACUGACGCUGAGGUGCGAAAGCGUGGGUAGCAAACAGGAUUAGAUACCCUAGUAGUC
rnacentral:rRNA from 1 species